UACGAAGGGGGCGAGCGUUGUUCGGAUUUACUGGGCGUAAAGGGCGCGCAGGCGGUCAUUUUUGUCGAGUGUGAAAGCCCCGGGCUCAACCUGGGAAUGGCAAUGGAUACUGGCAAGCUAGAGUGCGGUAGAGGGUAGUGGAAUUCCCGGUGUAGCGGUGAAAUGCGUAGAGAUCGGGAGGAGCACCAGUGGCGAAGGCGGCUACCUGGACCAGCACUGACACUGAGGCACGAAAGCGUGGGGAGCAAACAGG
rnacentral:rRNA from 1 species